rnacentral:rRNA from 1 species
GAUGAACGCUGGCGGCGUGCUUAACACAUGCAAGUCGAACGGAUUUGACAGAAAGCUUGCUUUCGGUUAAAUUAGUGGCGGACGGGUGAGUAACGCGUGGAUAACCUGCCGUAUACAGGGGGAUAACACUUAGAAAUAGGUGCUAAUACCGCAUAAGCGCACAGUUUCGCAUGAGACAGUGUGAAAAACUCCGGUGGUAUACGAUGGAUCCGCGUCUGAUUAGGUAGUUGGUGGGGUAACGGCCCACCAAGCCGACGAUCAGUAGCCGGCCUGAGAGGGUGAACGGCCACAUUGGGACUGAGACACGGCCCAAACUCCUACGGGAGGCAGCAGUGGGGAAUAUUGCGCAAUGGGGGAAACCCUGACGCAGCAAUGCCGCGUGAAGGAUGAAGGUUUUCGGAUUGUAAACUUCUUUUACUGAGGACGAAACAAAUGACGGUACUCAGAGAAUAAGCCACGGCUAACUACGUG